rnacentral:tRNA from 1 species
GCCCCCGUGGCUCAGUGGUUGAAGAAAUUCCACGAAAGAGCGUGUCCUUGGUAAGGACAAGGUCGCGAGUUCAAUUGCUGAUGUCCAAAACAUCAUCCUGAAAAUCUCGCCGGGGGCU